UACGUAGGGGGCUAGCGUUGUCCGGAAUCAUUGGGCGUAAAGAGCGUGUAGGCGGCCCGGUAAGUCCGCUGUGAAAGUCGGGGGCUCAACCCUCGAAAGCCGGUGGAUACUGUCGGGCUAGAGUGCGGAAGAGGCGAGUGGAAUUCCUGGUGUAGCGGUGGAAUGCGCAGAUAUCAGGAAGAACACCAACGGCGAAGGCAGCUCGCUGGGACGGUACUGACGCUGAGACGCGAAAGCGUGGGGAGCGAACAGG
rnacentral:rRNA from 1 species